CCGUAUCCAUUUUCCACUACUUCUUUCCGCAAUUUUCAUUCCCUUUACUUUUGUCAAGCGUGGUCGAAAGACUCGUAGCCAUUGCAUCCUAGGAUACGUCAUGUUUUCUGUUUGUUUUAAAUUUGUAUCAGUGCACAAAAAACUUAGUGCAUAAUCGUGACGUGUUGCAGCCAAACUCUCUGAAAAAUGGAUUCAACAAAUUAUGGAGGAUACAUUUUACUCCAUAUUAUAGUCGUUGGUCUAUCAAAAGAUCAUCCACUGACAGCUCCUGAUGCCUUGGAAUUGGCUUAUAAAUUUCAAGACGGUGCAAAACAAUGAAGCAUCUAUGGUUCUUUGUGCUAACUUCGUCUCACUCAUUGUCUUGGGAAUAUUGUCCUGCCACAAGGUUGCAUUCCUCUAAAUCUGGCUAUUAGCACUUUGGCUUCAUUGAAAGAGCUUGCACGAUAGAAUCUUUUUUCCUGGUCACCUCAUUCAAGUUGUUUUUUCAGCAGAACUAAACUUUAAGCAAAUGGAGCUUUAUCACGCUAUACCCAUGUUCUUCUAUUUGCUGGCUUCUUGUCACCGUAGGGGUUCCUCCUUAAUAUCAACUUUGAAAUUUGAUAAGUAUUGGGAUUGUAACAUUGGCCACUUUUACCAUUAUUUGGUAUCUAUUUUUACAAUUUCAUAAUGGGCUUUUGCAACAAGUUCUCUCCAGAGUCUUUCCUUUCAACCGCGGAAUUUUUGAAGAUUAUGUUGCCAACUUCUGGUGCACAUUAAAUGUUUUGGUAAAAAUCCGACGAAUAAUGGAACCCACCGCUAUCGCUAGAUAUUGUUUACUGCUAACAGCUCUUUUCAGUUUCCCUUGUGGACUUCAUCUAUAUUUUAAGAACAGUUCGCGUAAUUUGCAUAUCUCUUUGAUCAACGUGUCUCUUGCAUUUUUCCUAUUCUCCUAUCACGUCCUUGAGAAAUCAAUCCUUUUAGUAACGUUGCCUGCUUCCAUAGCUAGUCCUUAUUUCUCAUUCACUGCCUUCUGGUUUCUCUCCAUUUCCCAUUUCUCUAUGUUACCACAGUACGCCAAAGAUGAUUUGAUUAUCCCUGAUGUGGUUGACUUGCUCUCUAUUGUUUGCUGGCUCAUAGCAGCUUGAUAUUAGAUUUGCCUCAAUCUAUGGAGUUAAAAUGUCUAGCUGGUAUUUCGGCGAUUGGAAGUGCCGUUUUGGCUGUUAUGUUUCUCACAUGAUAUGGUUGAAAGAUAUUGAUACAAACCUUUUCAUUA
rnacentral:lncRNA from 1 species